rnacentral:lncRNA from 1 species
GUCACCAUAGCAAAAGACACAGGCGAAGUCACCAUAGGACUCUGAAUAAUUAGACAACUAGGGCCGGUAGCAGUGGAAUAUUAUUCUGUAAAUACGGCCUCAACAUUAUCGGUUUGCACCAUAGGAGUAACGAAAGGUGAAGAAGGCCCAACAUUAUUGUCCGCUUGAGUUAAAAGCCGACUAUAGUAUCCAAAGCUCGGUAUAUCUUCUUUUUUAAUAUAUAAUUCUAAAAAUCGACAUUCUGAAUAUUUCAAAGGAA